rnacentral:lncRNA from 1 species
GAACUCAAUGUGAGAAAGAAAAGGACUCCAUCCCAAGGGGAGCAGUACCAGGAAAGUCUGUCUUCUCCCUAGCCCAGACAGACCUCCUGCUACUUUCUCCAUUUUACAUGCUGCCCUGCCCCUUGUUCCCUAAUCCCAGCUAUCCUCAGUGGCCAGGUUGUUGAGCACCAUGGGGUCCUAGUGUAGGGUCAACAUCUAAAAUUCCACUGUACCUAGUGUUACACUGUGUUUGCUUUUUCCAAAUUCUCUUGCCUUGGCCUCACUUCCUGGAGCACCCGUUCAUCACUGUUGACUUUGUGGAUGAUAUACAGUUGGAAGAAUCAACAGCAGAGCAGGGACUCAAGGAUGGAACAUGUGCACCAUGGAUGGAUCAGUAGAAGUCAGAGUACUGGGAGGAGAAAACACAGGAGGCUCUGUGUUUUCAGAAAGUAACUUCAGAAACUGUUCCACAUCUACAACAAUAGCAUAACUGAUACAAGAGGAGCUGCAGGUCUGUGAACACAGCUUUGAGUUCAAUCGCCACAUUGGCAGGAGGAUCUUCAGGGUCACCAGAGGUCAAGCCGACGGCAAAGCUUUCGGGGUGGAAUCCUCAUGUCUACAUGCAAGACACUGAAGAACUACGACUCCUGUUGGCUAUGAUUGGGUCUGGAACAAUUUUUACACUGGGCAGAUUAUCAACCACCUACUGAGGAUUAAAACUGUGGAGCAGCUCAUACCCCCUCCAGCCCCCACAAAUUGUGUUUGGAUUAGGAAAAGCAGCCGGGUUGUUGAACAGAUCUUCUUCCUCAAUUGUGUAUUGAGACAUCCAGUGAAGCUCAGUUAUGGAAACAUUCAGCCAACAAGUCACAGAGCCCUCUCUAAACUUGGAACACAGCACCAAGCUUCUGGCAAAAACAUGAAAUACGAACCACAUCUGACCCCAGGAUCUGUGUAGUGAGAUUUUUCAUUGAUGUGAAAAUAAACCAUGAUCAAAAUACAUCUUUUUUUCCUUCUUUUUUUCAAUAUGUAAGUCUUUAUUCUCCUAAAAGAGCCCAAAUUGUCCUUGUGAUGAGGACCUUGUUUCUGGAGCUAGGAAACUGAGGCCUCACUCAUCUAUCAACCUGCUGCGCUGUUACCUUCUCAGACAUAUAGAGGCCAUCCAAAAACUUCCUGAUACCCUUGUUUUUAACUGUUGUG